rnacentral:rRNA from 1 species
AGUGAACGCUGGCGGUAGGCCUAACACAUGCAAGUCGAACGGCAGCACAGUAAGAGCUUGCUCUUACGGGUGGCGAGUGGCGGACGGGUGAGGAAUACAUCGGAAUCUACUUUUUCGUGGGGGAUAACGUAGGGAAACUUACGCUAAUACCGCAUACGACCUACGGGUGAAAGCAGUGGAUCUUCGGACCUUGCGCGAUUGAAUUAGCCGAUGUCGGAUUAGCUAGUUGGCGGGGUAAAGGCCCACCAAGGCGACGACCCGUAGCUGGUCUGAGAGGAUGAUCAGCCACACUGGAACUGAGACACGGUCCAGACUCCUACGGGAGGCAGCAGUGGGGAAUAUUGGACAAUGGGCGCAGGCCUGAUCCAGCCAUACCGCGUGGGUGAAGAAGGCCUUCGGGUUGUAAAGCCCUUUUGUUGGGAAAGAAAAGCAGCAGGUUAAUACCCCGCUGUUCUGACGGUACCCAAAGAAUAAGCACCGGCUAACUUCGUG